GGACGUGUGGUUCUAUUUUGUUGGUUUCUAGGACCGCCGUAAUGAUUAAUAGGGACAGUCGGGGGCAUCAGUAUUCAAUAGUCAGAGGUGAAAUUCUUGGAUCUAUUGAAGACUAACUACUGCGAAAGCAUUUGCCAAGGAUGUUUUCAUUAAUCAGGAACGAAAGUUAGGGGAUCGAAGACGAUCAGAUACCGUCGUAGUCUUAACCAUAAACUAUGCCGACUAGGGAUCGGACGAUGUUAUUUUUUGACUCGUUCGGCACCUUACACGAAAGUACAAGUUUCUGGGUUCUGGGGGGAGUAUGGUCGCAAGGCUGAAACUUAAAGAAAUUGACGGAAGGGCACCAC
rnacentral:rRNA from 1 species